AGGCCAUUAGCGCAGCCAAGGAUGACUUGCCGGUAUAUAUGUAUGCAUAUAUAUAUGUAUUUGAAAAUCAUCGAAGAACUAAUUAACAUAAAUUAAUCCAUGAUUAUAUAUGCAAUUAGCCGGCGAGUCAUCUCUGGCUACUCAACUGCCUCC
rfam:Jatropha curcas cultivar GZQX0401 scaffold617_4, whole genome shotgun sequence.